UUGCCCUCUUGUUGCUUUUCAGUGACUGAUUCCCGGGGGCCCAGUAAGUGAGUUGGCGAGUCUCCACCUGCCAUUUUUACGUGUGCAAACAUUGUUAUCGGCAGGUGCCAUAGUUCCCGUAGUUUCCCCAUUCCUAGUCCAUUAGCAUCCCAUCACAAUAGCCCAAGUAGUUUUCAUCCAUAGUUAGCAAUAGUUUAGCACAGAACCGGGGAUUGUCCUUGGGUACAUUUCUAUAGUGUAUACAGGGAUAAUCGUCGGUUUUGUGUCAUCAUUUCAUUAAAGUUGUCUCAAAAGGGCUUCAGCGUGUUGGCUUCGGCCCCACGUUCGCCUCCCAAAAAUCCGGGACUCUAUAGUCCCGAGGUCUGGUAGAGACAUACAAGAAUAAUAAUAAUAA
rnacentral:lncRNA from 1 species